rnacentral:rRNA from 1 species
UACGGGAGGCAGCAGUAGGGAAUCUUCCACAAUGGACGAAAGUCUGAUGGAGCAACGCCGCGUGAGUGAAGAAGGGUUUCGGCUCGUAAAACUCUGUUGUUAAAGAAGAACAUAUCUGAGAGUAACUGUUCAGGUAUUGACGGUAUUUAACCAGAAAGCCACGGCUAACUACGUGCCAGCAGCCGCGGUAAUACGUAGGUGGCAAGCGUUGUCCGGAUUUAUUGGGCGUAAAGCGAGCGCAGGCGGUUUUUUAAGUCUGAUGUGAAAGCCUUCGGCUCAACCGAAGAAGUGCAUCGGAAACUGGGAAACUUGAGUGCAGAAGAGGACAGUGGAACUCCAUGUGUAGCGGUGAAAUGCGUAGAUAUAUGGAAGAACACCAGUGGCGAAGGCGGCUGUCUGGUCUGUAACUGACGCUGAGGCUCGAAAGUAUGGGUAGCAAACAGGAUUAGAUACCCUGGUAGUCCAUACCGUAAACGAUGAAUGCUAAGUGUUGGAGGGUUUCCGCCCUUC